rnacentral:rRNA from 1 species
UACAGAGGUCUCAAGCGUUGUUCGGAAUUACUGGGCGUAAAGGGCGCGUAGGCGGCUUGGCAAGUUGGAUGUGAAAGCCCAGGGCUCAACCCUGGAAUUGCAUUCAAGACUGUCUUGCUUGAAUUCGGUAGAGGUUGGUGGAAUUCCCAGUGUAGAGGUGAAAUUCGUAGAGAUUGGGAAGAACACCCGUGGCGAAGGCGGCCAACUGGACCGACAUUGACGCUGAGGCGCGAAAGCGUGGGGAUCAAACAGG